AUGGCCGCCAUCAAGAUCAAGCUCGUGGUGGACAGGUCGUGCAACCGCGUGCUGUUCGCCGACAUCGGCUCCGACUUCGUCGACGUCCUCCUCGCCUUCCUGACGCUCCCGAUCUCCGCCGUCCAGCUCGCCGCGGGCGCGUCCUCGCCGGGCUGCCUGACAAACCUCUCCGCCAGCGUCCGGCACCUGGGGGACGCUAAACUGUUGAAGGGCGAGGCCUGCCACGGCACGCUUCUCAGGCCUACACACGCCGAUGAAUUUGGGUACAGUAGCGCACCAUGCCCAGGGUGCACUCCGUUCAAGGAAAAGCAUCCGACUCCACAGGGACAGCACCUCCAGCAGUGUGGUUGCAGGUGCCGGGAGGUCAUGGCUAGGCUGGCGCAUGUGUGCGACCAAACAACACGCACAGAGGUCUUCUCCAAGUGGAAAGAGAGGUUCGUCAUCAGCGACGAUCUGGUGAUCAAGCCGGCGGCGACUAGCACGGUCUUGUCUUUUCUUCAGGGUCUCUACGGAGACAGGAUCAAAGACGCCUACGAGGUGGAGGUGGACGUCGGAUGGACCCAGGUGGUUUGCUUGCUCAAGGCAUGUGUCUCGUCCACCACCAUAUUCACCGAUGUGUUUCUCGCGAAAAGAACCGAUGCUUUGAUGGGCACAUCAGUGCUCACAAUUCACAGUCCUCGGCGUCAAGAAACCAACCAAACCCCCGAUCCGCAGAUGAGCAUCAAGCUUUUCUUCGACAAGGAGGACAGAAAGGUCAUGUACGCUGAGUGCAAGCAUGACUUCGUGGACCUGCUCCUCAGUUUCCUGACCUACCCCAUGGGGUGCAUCCUCAAGAACCUGGCCGGCACGUCUCACCGCACGCUGCUGGAUCCUAAUAUUGCUCCGUUGAAGAUGCACGGCGCCAAUUGGUCGGAUCAAGCAAUUGCGGAGUGGUAUCAUCUCUGCCGGACCGGGAAGCGGCAGUGCUCCCCCGCAAAGGAUAAAAGGUCAUGCCAUUUGUUCGAUCCGGUGUUUGUAGACGAUCACACCUAUGUGGUAGCCGACGAGCUUAGUAUACAUCAAGCUCCGGCCGUGUCGGUGCUGAAGCACUGGUGCAAGAGAAACCGGGAUAAUGUAGUGGAGAUGGACAUCUCUGCUGUUGCGCUACUACGAGCGGUGAUCAAUUCAGAGACUGUGCUGUCAGAUGCGUUCAAGGAGAGGUUUGAGCAGGAAGCACAACCGCUGCCACCUUCGAAAAGAAGAACAGGUUCGCCAUCGGUGGAAAAGAUGCAGAUCUUUGUCAAGAUCUUCACAGGCGAGACCAUCACCCUUGACAUGGCAAGCUCCGACACGGUUGCUGCCGUGAGGAGUAAGAUCCAGAUGAAGGGGAAGCCAAUGGCUGACUGUGGGUUAGUGUACGGUGGCAAAUGCCUACAGGAUCCAUGGACCCUGGCUGACUGUGGCAUUCAUAGAGAAGCCACCAUCCAUCUUGAGUUUUACCCCCGCGGCCUUAUCAAAACUGACACAGAAUGA
rnacentral:rRNA from 1 species